rnacentral:rRNA from 1 species
GUAUCCUGACUGUGCAAAGGUAGCAUAAUAAUUUGUCUUUUAAUUGGAGGAUAGAAUGAAUGGUUUGACGAAGGUAAGGCUGUCUCAUACAUAUUUAUUAAAAGUUAAUUUUUAGGUUAAAAAGCCUAAAUUAAAUUAAAGGACGAGAAGACCCUAUUAAGCUUAAAAGAAGCAUUUAAUUUUUAUUAUGCUAUGAAGAUGUAGGUGUUAGAAGUGAAAUUUUAGUUGGGGCGACUUGGGAGCAGAAAAAACCUCUUUUAAUUAGGUAAAAAUUUUAUUUUUGGCCCAAAAAUUUUGAGUUAAGAAUAAGUUACUAUAGGGAUAACAGCGUGGUUUUAUUUGAGAGUUCUAAUCGAAAAUAAGGUUCGCGACCUCGAUGUUGGAUUAAGAAGUAGUAAGGGUUGUAGAAGCUUUUAUGAUUAGUCUGUUCGACUACUAAUAUCUUACAUGAUCUGAGUUCAAACCGG